UACGAAGGGGCUAGCGUUGCUCGGAAUUACUGGGCGUAAAGCGCACGUAGGCGGAUUGUUAAGUCGGGGGUGAAAUCCUGGAGCUCAACUCCAGAACUGCCUUCGAAACUGGCGAUCUUGAGUCCGGGAGAGGUGAGUGGAACUGCGAGUGUAGAGGUGAAAUUCGUAGAUAUUCGCAAGAACACCAGUGGCGAAGGCGGCUCACUGGCCCGGUACUGACGCUGAGGUGCGAAAGCG
rnacentral:rRNA from 1 species